CUACGGGGUGCUGCAGUGAGGAAUAUUGCACAAUGGGGGGAACCCUGAUGCAGCAACGCCGCGUGGAGGAUGACGCAUUUCGGUGUGUAAACUCCUUUUAUAUGUCAAGAAAAUGACGGUAGCAUAUGAAUAAGCACCGGCUAACUCCGUGCCAGCAGCCGCGGUAAUACGGAGGGUGCAAGCGUUACUCGGAAUCACUGGGCGUAAAGGACGCGUAGGCGGGUUGGAAAGUCAGGUGUGAAAUCCUACAGCUUAACUGUAGAACUGCACUUGAAACUUCUAAUCUAGAGUAUGGGAGGGGGAGAUGGAAUUAGUGGUGUAGGAGUAAAAUCCGUAGAUAUCACUAGGAAUACCUAAAGCGAAGGCGAUCCCCUGGAACAUUACUGACGCUAAGGCGUGAAAGCGUGGGGAGCAAACAGGAUUAGAUACCCCGGUAGUC
rnacentral:rRNA from 1 species